rnacentral:rRNA from 1 species
GACGAACGCUGGCGGCGUGCCUAAUACAUGCAAGUCGAACGCUUCUUUUUCCACCGGAGCUUGCUCCACCGGAAAAAGAGGAGUGGCGAACGGGUGAGUAACACGUGGGCAACCUGCCCCCGACUCUGGGAUAAGCCCGGGAAACUGGGUCUAAUACCGGAUACGAGCCUCCACCGCAUGGCGGAGGUUGGAAAGGGUCUCCGGUCGGGGAUGGGCCCGCGGCCUAUCAGCUUGUUGGUGGGGUAACGGCCCACCAAGGCGACGACGGGUAGCCGGCCUGAGAGGGUGAACGGCCACACUGGGACUGAGACACGGCCCAGACUCCUACGGGAGGCAGCAGUAGGGAAUCUUGCGCAAUGGGCGAAAGCCUGACGCAGCGACGCCGCGUGCGGGACGAAGGCCCUCGGGUUGUAAACCGCUUUCAGCAGGGACGAAGCGAGAGUGACGGUACCUGCAGAAGAAGGUCCGGCCAACUACGUGCCAGCAGCCGCCGUAA